rnacentral:rRNA from 1 species
UUGUACACACCGCCCGUCGCUCCUACCGAUUGAAUGGUCCGGUGAAGUGUUCGGAUCGUUGUGAUGUGGGCGGUUCGCCGCGUGUGACACUGCGAGAAGUCCACUGAACCUUAUCAUUUAGAGGAAGGAGAAGUCGUAACAAGGUUUCCGUAGGUGAACCUGCGGAAGGAUCAUUGUUGAGACAGCAGAAUAUAUGAUCGAGUGAAUCCGGUGGACUUGUGGUUACUCAGCUCGACAUAGGCUUUGCUUUUGCGGUGACCCUAAUUUGCCAUUGGGCCUCCUCCAAAGCUUUCCUUGUGGGUUUGAACCUCUAGCACGGCGCAGUAUGCGCCAAGUCAUAUGAAGCAUCACCGAUGAAUGACAUUAUUGUCAAAAAGUUGGAGUGGAAGCGUGCUAUUGCAUGCAUGCAAAUGAAUUUUUUAUGACUCUCGACAACGGAUAUCUUGGCUCUUGCAUCGAUGAAGAACGCAGCAAAAUGCGAUAAGUGGUGUGAAUUGCAGAAUCCCGUGAACCAUCGAGUCUUUGAACGCAAGUUGCGCCCGAUGCCAUCAGGCUAAGGGCACGCCUGCCUGGGCGUCGUGUGCUGCGUCUCUCCUGUCAAUGCUUUCAUGUCAUAUAGAUAGGUUUGCAUUGCGUGGAUGUGAAAGAUUGGCCCCUUGUGCCUAGGUGCGGUGGGUCUAAGGACUAGUGUUUUGAUGGUUCGAAACCUGGCAGGAGGUGGAGGAUGUUGGCAGCUAUAAGGCUAUCAUUUGAAUCCCCCAAUAUUGUCGUGUUUGUCGGACCUAUGAGAAAAACAUGUUUGAAUCCCAAUGGAGGCAAACAACUCUCGGGCGGUUGAUUGCCAUUCAUAUGCGACCCCAGGUCAGGCGGGGCCACCCGCUGAGUUUAAGCAUAUCAAUAAGCGGAGGAAAAGAAACUUAUGAGGAUUCCCCUAGUAACGGCGAGCGAACUGGGAUGUGCUCAGCAUGGUAAUCGGGCAGCCA